UACGUAUGGAGCAAGCGUUAUCCGGAUUUACUGGGUGUAAAGGGAGCGUAGGCGGCAUACCAAGCCUGAUGUGAAAACCCGGGGCCCAACCCCGGGAGUGCAUUGGGAACUGGCAAGCUAGAGUGUCGGAGAGGCAGGCGGAGUUCCUAGUGUAGCGGUGAAAUGCGUAGAUAUUAGGAGGAACACCAGUGGCGAAGGCGGCCUGCUGGACGAUGACUGACGCUGAGGCUCGAAAGCGUGGGGAGCAAACAGG
rnacentral:rRNA from 1 species